UUAAACGCGAUGAAGAGAAGAGUAGGUAAUGUAAAUUCUAAACAGAGAACCCUGGUAGCUGAAAAAGGGGGAGAAUUUUGUUAUUGAACCAAGACUCCGAGCAGCACAUUGGAACCGACUAUGGGGAUAGUGUGACGGGUGCUCCCGUUAAAGAGCUAGGGUAUAAUCUUUUUUUGUACCUGAUAAGGUUAAUAUGGUGACAUAUUAACAAACUGGGGUGGUACCGCGAUCUAUAAUCUCGUCCCCAAG
rnacentral:ncRNA from 1 species